GACGAACGCUGGCGGCGUGCUUAACACAUGCAAGUCGAACGAGAGCGUAGAGACAGCUUGCUUUUUCUACAAUCUAGUGGCAAACGGGUGAGUAACGCGUAAACAACCUGCCCUACGGAUGGGGACAACAGCUGGAAACGGCUGCUAAUACCGAAUACGUUCCGAACGUCGCAUGACUAUCGGAAGAAAGGAUGGCCUCUAUUUAUAAGCUAUCGCCGGAGGAGGGGUUUGCGUCUGAUUAGCUAGUUUGGGGGGUAACGGCCCACCAAGGCGACGAUCAGUAGCCGGUCUGAGAGGAUGAACGGCCACAUUGGAGCUGAGACACGGUCCAGACUCCUACGGGAGGCAGCAGUGGGGAAUCUUCCGAAAUGGGCGAAAGCCUGACGGAGCAACGCCGCGUGAGUGAAGACGGCCUUCGGGUUGUAAAGCUCUGUUAUACGGGACGAAUAAUCUUGUGGUUAAUACCCAUGAGAAGUGACGGUACCGUAAGAGAAAGCCACGGCUAACUACGUG
rnacentral:rRNA from 1 species